rnacentral:misc_RNA from 1 species
UUCGGGCGGAGGGAGAGGCCCAGGGAGCCCGUCCCAGCGCAGCGGCAAGCAAGGCAGGCAAGCAAGCAGCAGAGGAGGCUCGCCGGCCCCUGCACACGGCGACGCCGCCGCCAACCUUCGCAGCGAGCGGGAGCAGCAGCAGCAGCAGCAGCAGGCCAGCCAGCCUUCAGCCCUCGGCGCCUCAUCCCUCGCCCACUCCACCGGCGGCAGCAGAACAACGACAUGGCCGCGUAAAAAAGCCCGCUGCCUCGCACGCGUCCUCAGCUGAAAAAUCUCCCUCUCCUCGCCGCCGCCAGGGGCCGCCGCGAGCGUCCCACGCACGCGGAGCGCGGGUUGGCCGCGAUGACCCCACGUGACCGUAGCGCGCGAAGCACGAUGGGAUCGCCGCGCACCCCGUCGUCUGCAACGCUCGAGUCGGGCGCCGCUUCAGUGGGCGAUCAGCCGCUGUCGGUGCCGGUGUGUUCGAAAGGGACCGCGUGUAUCCUACAGCGCUGCCGUGCGUGCUCCUCUCGGCGUGUCGUCUGCUGCUGCUGCCAGCGUUAAGCAACAGCGUCGUUCGUCGCAGCCGAUCCCGGCCUCGACUGUCGUGACUGACAUCCUCGUGUGUUUCGACGCCCGCGAGGGACUGCUCCACGACGUGUCGACGCGACGACGAAGUCGACGACCAGCACGGUUCGAGCCGUGAGGCCGUCAUUCCGUGUUCGACGCCAGACGCCUAUGGCAUGGGGGUAGAGGUCAGCCCACUGCAUGCCCUCAGAUUUAAGCACGCUCCUCGUUGAAAACCGCCAAGAUCCGUCGCGGGCUCUUGCCUACCCCGGGAUGUGUGCCGUUGGCGCAGAAUCGCUUUACCACAGUAGCCGUCGGGAGCCCGUGAACCGUUAUCCUGACUGUGUCCUGCUGUCGUGCUUCGAGAGUGCGUGGUUCUCGACCGGUUGCGUUUCUCGGGACGCGUUCUGUUGUGGCGUUCUCGUGUCCCCCGUCAGGAGUGCUGAAAACUUGUUUCGCGCAAAAUAAAGGCACGCUUAAGGUA